AUCUGGCCAAAAGUAUCACAUACCCGACCCACUCCACUUCAAAUUAUCCUAACCCAAUACUCUUCUCUUUCCCUUUUCCCAAAAAAAUGCACAACACACUCUUCACACACAUCUUUCAUCUCUCGUUUUUCAACGACAAGAAGCAGAAUCUAACCACUUGUGAAAAUUCCUCAAAAUCCGGUGGGAUUUGGGCUCAACCAUCUCCCUCAAAUCAAUUUGGGAGAAGGUAACCUCAUCCCUUUGUCAGCCUUUUUCAUCUACUUUUCUUAAUCUGUGAAAGACAUAAAGAAUUCAAAUAUUGAAUUCAAACAAGAUCUUGGAGUUCCCCUCUCAAACGGCUCUUUUUGAAAUUCAAAUUCACUAUUUUUGGCUAUAAAUAUCGCACUUAUUUUCAUUAGAAAGGGGGAGGGGAGAAGUGACGGAGAGUUUGGAAAAUAUUUGAGUUUUUCGCACUCUUGCAUUCACUACUUUUUCUAUUCUUCUUUGCUUUUUCUAGUUUCCUAGAUACUCACAUCACUCUUGCUAUCUCUCUGUUAUCACUCGCACUCAAAGUCGGUGUGGAAGCUCAUCCUUGUUAUAACUCAUUGUCCAAUUUGUUGCUCUGCGAAAGACACACAUAACUCUAGAUACAAGGGCAAGAAGAGCCAAGAAGGCAAAUUGAGCAGCCUAUUGCGCCAACGGUAAUGGAUGAAAGGGAAGAGGGCGGGAAGUUAACGCUUCUAGAAUGAAAGCUUUUCCUUUACUUUUUUUUAGAGCUUAUCGCUAUUUUGAAAUUGAAAAAAAGUUUUAUGUAUUCUUCUAUAUCAAGAAUGUGGUCUAAAAAUUUUGUGUUUAGUUUUAUCGACUCUAAAGUUUCUAUCUUCUGUAUUACGGAAGUCUAUAUUUGUCGCCGAAA